UCCCCUAGUAACGGCGAGCGAACCGGGAAGAGCUCAAAUUUGAAAUCUGGCGUCCCACGGGCGUCCGAGUUGUAAUCUGCAGAGGCGUCUUCCGCCCCGGACCGCGUCCAAGUCCCUUGGAACAGGGUAUCAAAGAGGGUGACAAUCCCGUGCUUGACGCGACCCCCGGUGCUAUGUGAUGCGACCUCAAAGAGUCGAGUUGUUUGGGAAUGCAGCUCAAAACGGGUGGUAAAUUCCAUCUAAGGCUAAAUAUUGGCGAGAGACCGAUAGCGAACAAGUACCGUGAGGGAAAGAUGAAAAGCACUUUGGAAAGAGAGUUAAACAGUACGUGAAAUUGUUGGAAGGGAAACGAUUGAAGUCAGUCGUGUCCGAGGGGUUCAGCCGGUCCUGCCGGUGCACUCCCCUCGGACGGGUCAACAUCGGUUCUGUCCGGCGGACAAGGGCAGGGGGAACGUGGCACCCUCGUGGUGUGUUAUAGCCCCCCGUCGCAUACGUCGGUCGGGACCGAGGAUCGCAGCUCGCCCUCACGGGCCGGGGUCGCCCACG
rnacentral:rRNA from 1 species